UACGGAGGUGGCGAGCGUUGUUCGGAAUCACUGGGCUUAAAGCGCGUGUAGGCGGAACUGAAAGUGUCGGGUGAAAUCCCUCGGCUCAACCGAGGAACUGCCCGGCAAACUGCUGUUCUUGAGGUAGGUAGAGGUGACGGGAACGACGGGUGGAGCGGUGAAAUGCGUAGAUAUCCGUUGGAACGCCGGCGGCGAAAGCGCGUCACUAGGCCUGUCCUGACGCUGAGACGCGAAAGCGUGGGGAGCAAACAGG
rnacentral:rRNA from 1 species